UACGUAAGGACCGAGCGUUGUCCGGAAUCAUUGGGCGUAAAGGGUACGUAGGCGGGUUUUUAAGUUAGAAGUGAAAGGCAAUAGCUCAACUAUUGUAAGCUUUUAAAACUGCUAGACUUGAGAGAUUGAAGGGAAAGUGGAAUUCCUAGUGUAGCGGUGAAAUGCGCAGAUAUUAGGAGGAAUACCAGUGGCGAAGGCGACUUUCUGGCAAUCAUCAGACGCUGAGGUACGAAAGCGUGGGUAGCAAACAGG
rnacentral:rRNA from 1 species